rnacentral:rRNA from 1 species
GAGAGGUGCUGCAUGGCUGUCGUCAGCUCGUGUUGUGAAAUGUUGGGUUAAGUCUCGCAACGAGCGCAACCCCUAUCGUCUGUUGCCAGCAUUAAGUUGGGCACUCUGACGAGACUGCCUGGGUUAACCGGGAGGAAGGUGGGGAUGACGUCAAGUCCUCAUGGCCCUUAUGUCUAGGGCUGCACACGUAAUGCAAUGGCGCGUACAGAGGGAAGCGAACUCGCAAGGGGGAGCAAAUCUCAAAAAGCGCGCCUCAGUUCGGAUUGAAGUCUGCAACUCGACUUCAUGAAGUUGGAAUCGCUAGUA